rnacentral:rRNA from 1 species
CCUACGGGAGGCAGCAGUGGGGAAUAUUGCGCAAUGGGCGAAAGUCUGACGCAGCGACGCCGCGUGAGGGAUGAAGGUCUUCGGAUCGUAAACCUCUGUCAGCAGGGAAGAACGGUCACUGUGCUAAUCAGCAGUGAAUUGACGGUACCUGCAAAGGAAGCACCGGCUAACUCCGUGCCACCAGCCGCGGUAAUACGGAGGGUGCGAGCGUUAAUCGGAAUUACUGGGCGUAAAGCGCUCGUAGGCGGUAUGUCAAGUCAAGGGUGAAAUCCCCGCGCUCAACGGGGGAACUGCCUUUGAAACUGGCAAACUGGAGUGUGUUAGAGGAUAGUGGAAUUCCAGGUGUAGCAGUGAAAUCCGUAGAUAUCUGGAAGAACACCAGUGGCGAAGGCGACUAUCUGGCACAUAACUGACGCUGAGGAGCGAAAGCGUGGGUAGCAAACAGGAUUAGAUACCCUUGUAGUC